rnacentral:rRNA from 2 species
AGAAUUAUUGCUGCGGUUAAAAAGCUCGUAGUUGGAUCUGUGCUAGCCGUCCGGUGCACACUUUGUGUGUUACUGGUUUGGUUGGCUUUUCUGCCGGUCUCUCCCCGGCGUUGGCCUUUACCGGUCGGCGUCGGUGGGCUGGCGAGUUUACUUUGAACAAAUCAGAGUGCUUCAAACAGGCGUUUCGCUUGAAUGUUCGUGCAUGGAAUAAUAGAAGAGGAUUUCGGUCCGAUUUUAUUGGUUUUGCUGACCGAGAUAAUGGUUAACAGAGACAAACGGGGCCAUUCGUAUUGCUACGUGAGAGGUGAAAUUCUUGGACCGUAGCAAGACGGACUACAGCGAAAGCAUUUGGCAAGAAUGUCUUCAUUAAUCAAGAACGAAAGUCAGAGGUUCGAAGGCGAUCAGAUACCGCCCUAGUUCUGACCGUAAACGAUGCCAACUAGCGAUCCGCCGGCGGAUUUAUUCGCCCUGGUGGGGAGCUUCCCGGAAACGAAAGUCUUCCGGUUCCGGGGGAAGUAUGGUUGCAAAGCUGAAACUUAAAGGAAUUGACGGAAGGGCACCACCAGGAGUGGAGCCUGCGGCUUAAUUUGACUCAACACGGGGAAACUCACCCGGCCCGGACACCGUAAGGAUUGACAGAUUGAUAGCUUUUUCAUGAUUCGGUGGAUGGUGGUGCAUGGCCGUUCUUAGUUCGUGGAGCGAUUUGUCUGGUUUAUUCCGAUAACGAGCGAGACUCUAGCCUACUAAAUAGUUGGCUCAUUGCUUCUGUGGGCACACUUCUUAGAGGGAUUUCGGUGUUCAGCCGCACGAAAUUGAGCAAUACAGGGUCUGUGAUGCCCUUAGAUGUCCGGGGCUGCACGCGCGCUACACUGGCAAAAUCAGCGUGCUUGUCCUUCCCCGAAAGGGGUUGGUAAACCGGUGAAAAUUUGCCGUGAUUGGGAUCGGACAUUGCAAUUAUUGUCCGUGAACGAGGAAUUCCUUGUAGGGGCGAGUCAUCAACUCGCUCUGAAUACGUCCCUGCCCUUUGUACACACCGCCCGUCGCUGCCCGGGACUGAGCCAUUUCGAGAAAUUCGGGGACGGUUAGUGUUCCGGCUUCGGUCGGUAUGCAGACUGGAACCGAUUUAAUCGCAGUGGCUUGAACCGGGCAAAAGUCGUAACAAGGUAGCUGUAGGUGAACCUGCUGCUG